CCCUGCCAUUUGUACACACCGCCCGUCGCACCUACCGAUUGGAUGGUCCGGUGAAAUCUCGGGAUCGUCUGUGGGGUCUUUUCGGAGACGCCCGGACGAGAACUUGCUUGAACCUUACCAUCUAGAGG
rnacentral:rRNA from 1 species